ensembl:ncRNA Y17G7A.3 ncRNA
GGCCUAGGCUUAGACCUAGGUCUAGACUUAGGCUUGGGCGUAGGCUUAGGCAUAGGACUAGGCCUGGGCUUAGACUCAGGCUUAGACUUAAGCUUAGGCUUAGGCUUAAGCUUAGGCCUAGGCUUAGGCUUAGGCUAAGAUUUAGGCUUA